CCGGUGUAGCUCAACUGGUAGAGCAACUGACUUGUAAUCAGUAGGUUGGGGGUUCAAGUCCUCUUGCCGG
rnacentral:tRNA from 1 species